rnacentral:rRNA from 1 species
UACGAAGGGGGCUAGCGUUGUUUCGGAAUUACUGGGCGUAAAGCGUGCGCAGGCGGCUUUCUCAAGUCAGGGGUGAAAGCCCAGAGCUCAACUCUGGAAUUGCCUUUUGAGACUGAGUGGCUUUGAGUACGAGAGAGGUGAGUGGAAUUCCCAGUGUAGAGGUGAAAUUCGUAGAUAUUGGGAAGAACACCGGUGGCGAAGGCGGCUCACUGGCUCGUAACUGACGCUCAUGCAC